CCUCGACUGAAAUGUAAAUUGCUAAACAAAUAAUAGACGAAAACGUUAAAGUUUACAUUCAUUUUAAAGCGUAGCCAUUCAGCUUUCUAACAGUGGGUUGUUUCUUAAAUUUGACUCAUUGGUUCGCGGGUAAUAAUAAUUUACGUUAUUGCGAUUGGAGAUUAAAAAAAUUGAGAUGGAAUAACAAAUCGUUCUCAUGAAAAUAACUGAUUUUUUCAUUAAAACAAAAAACUGUUGCAUUUUAUUAAAUGGAUUGUAACAAUAAGUAUAAUUACAGCUUUUCUUCCACUAUUUUUAACUCAGUUUGAAACUUCUAAUGCGAUAUAAUUUUGGCUUGGACCAUCUAAGCUGACUGACAUCAACUUGCUAUAAUUUCUGUUUACAUUACAUCGCAAUUCGAUGACACUCUGGCUCCAAACAACAGAAUGUUUUGACGAUUUUUAGCAUUCAUUUAGGAUUUUCAAACAACCUGGUCUCUUUUAAAAUACUUUUAAUUUGUUCUUACGUGGUUUUACAGAUGUAGUGACGACAACAUUAAAGUUUAAAGAAGAAAAUUCUAACAUUUAAACCGACUAAACAAUAACAUUGUAAACUUGCAUAAUUAUAAACAGCAACUAAAAAUGAUAGGUUUUACUAAAUCUUUUCCUGUGCAAUUAUUACUAGCAUUGGAGACAAGGAUAAUAGUUUGGUUGAAAGAGAAAAGAACAGGCUUUGAAGUAAGCCUAAAAGCGUUUAACUAGAAAUAGUGUUUCGAAAGUUAUUAAGCACAAAAGAUGAAUUGCGUUUAUUUUGAUACACCCUGUAUA